CUCAGGCCCGACCUCCCAACCCUCUGUCUACUAGACCUCUGUUGCUUCGGCGGACCCGCUCCCAAACGGACCGCCGGAGGACCGCCCAUCGUGCCGCGUCCUCUGGCCAGCGUCCGCCGAUAGCCCCUUCAAACUCUGGAACAAUCAUGAUUUUAUCGUCUAAGUGAUUUUAUUCAAUUAAAAGCAAAAACUUUCAACAACGGAUCUCUUGGUUCUGGCAUCGAUGAAGAACGCAGCGAAAUGCGAUAAGUAAUGCGAAUUGCAGAAUUCCAGUGAGUCAUCGAAUCUUUGAACGCACAUUGCGCCCUUUGGUAUUCCGAAGGGCAUGCCUGUUCGAGCGUCAUUAUCACCCCCUCAAGCCCCGUGCUUGGUGUUGGACGGCUUGGUAGAGUCUCUCUACCCCUCCUAAAGACAAUGACGGCGGUCUCGUGGAUCCCCCGGUACACUGAGCUUCUUAACUGAGCACGUAUCGGAUCAAGGGCGCCCGGGGCACGGUCUUCUCCCCUUUCCAUGGGGAAAUUUUCUCAAGGUUGACCUCGGAUCAGGUAGGAAUACGCGCUGAA
rnacentral:rRNA from 1 species